rnacentral:rRNA from 1 species
CCUACGGGACGCACCAGUGGGGAAUAUUGCACAAUGGGCGCAAGCCUGAUGCAGCCAUGCCGCGUGUACGAAGAAGGCCUUCGGGUUGUAAAGUACUUUCAGCGGGGAGGAAGGUGUUGUGGUUAAUAACCGCAGCAAUUGACGUUACCCGCAGAAGAAGCACCGGCUAACUCCGUGCCAGCAGCCGCGGUAAUACGGAGGGUGCAAGCGUUAAUCGGAAUUACUGGGCGUAAAGCGCACGCAGGCGGUCUGUCAAGUCGGAUGUGAAAUCCCCGGGCUCAACCUGGGAACUGCAUUCGAAACCGGCAGGCUAGAGUCUUGUAGAGGGGGGUAGAAUUCCAGGUGUAGCGGUGAAAUGCGUAGAGCUCUGGAGGAAUACCGGUGGCGAUGGCGGCCCCCUGGACAAAGACUGACGCUCAGGUGCGAAUGCGUGGGGAGCAAACAGGAUUAGAUACCCCAGUAGUC